UACGUAGGUGGCGAGCGUUAUCCGGAAUUACUGGGCGUAAAGAGCUCGUAGGUGGUUUGUCACGUCGUCUGUGAAAUUCCGGGGCUUAACCUCGGGCGUGCAGGCGAUACGGGCAAUACUUGAGUGCUGUAGGGGAGACUGGAAUUCCAGGUGUAGCGGUGGAAUGCGCAGAUAUCUGGAGGAACACCAGUGGCGAAGGCGGCCUCCUGGACCAUUCCUGACACUCAGACGCGAAAGCUAGGGUAGCAAACGGGAUUAGAUACCCGGGUAGUCCCU
rnacentral:rRNA from 1 species